UACAGAGGAGCCAAGCGUUGUCCGGAUUGACUGGGCGUAAAGCGCACGCAGGCGGAUGCGCGCGUGGGGUGUGAAAUCUGGCCGCUUAACGGCCAGGCGCCAUCCCAUACGGCGCGUCUGGAGUGAUGCAGAGGUCGGUGGAAUUGCCGGUGUAGUGGUGAAAUGCGUAGAUAUCGGGAGGAACACCAGUGGCGAAGGCGGCUUCCUGGACCGGUUCUGACACUGAGGAGCGAAAGCGUGGGGAGCGAUCCGG
rnacentral:rRNA from 1 species